rnacentral:lncRNA from 1 species
GUGCGUGUGAGCUGUCUCCGUAAAUGAACCCGAGAGGCCUGGAGAGCUUGAAAGGGGAGCUCUGUGUGUUCAAGCCCCAGUGUGGCGUGGCCUCAACUCUCUGGCUGACCUUCUCCUGACUCCAAGAGUGGACGAAUAGUGGGCUCUGUGUCCUCCAAGCUGGGCCUUCCUGUGACCUGUGUGAAACAUCUCAGCCCCUCUCCCACAACCCUCCAGCAAAGCCUCGCCGGAGCUCUUGGUUUAUUUUUUCAGGUGAGUAAACUCUGGAUCGAAUAGUAGUUUCUCAGUUGCUUUUAAUUAGGCUUCUGGGUUCCACUCUUUCAUCUCACUGAAAUCUGCGUCACUUUUCUCCAGCUAUUUCGGGUUCUAAAGCCAUGGGU